rnacentral:rRNA from 1 species
CGUAGGGUGCGAGCGUUAAUCGGAAUUACUGGGCGUAAAGCGUGCGCAGGCGGUUUUGUAAGCCAGAUGUGAAAUCCCCGGGCUCAACCUGGGAAUGGCAUUUGGGACUGCAAGGCUGGAGUGUGGCAGAGGAGACUGGAAUUCCUGGUGUAGCAGUGAAAUGCGUAGAUAUCAGGAGGAAUACCGAUGGCGAAGGCAGGUCUCUGGGCUAACACUGACGCUCAUGCACGAAAGCGUGGGGAGCAAACAGGAUUAGAUACCCUGGUAGUCCACGCCCUAAACGAUGUCGACUGGUUGUUGGGGGUUUGACACUCUCAGUAACGAAGCUAACGCGUGAAGUCGACCGCCUGGGAGUACGGCCGCAAGGUU